GAUGAACGCUGGCGGCGUGCCUAAUACAUGCAAGUCGAGCGAACAGACGAGGAGCUUGCCCCUCUGACGUUAGCGGCGGACGGGUGAGUAACACGUGGAUAACCUACCUAUAAGACUGGGAUAACUUCGGGAAACCGGAGCUAAUAUCGGAUAAUAUAUUGAACCGCAUGGUUCUACAGUGAAAGACGGUUCUGCUGUCACUUAUAGAUGGAUCCACGCCGCAUUAGCUAGUUGGUAAGGUAACGGCUUACCAAGGCAACGAUGCGUAGCCGACCUGAGAGGGUGAUCGGCCACACUGGAACUGAGACACGGUCCAGACUCCUACGGGAGGCAGCAGUAGGGAAUCUUCGGCAAUGGGCGAAAGCCUGACGGAGCAACGCCGCGUGAGUGAUGAAGGUCUUCGGAUCGUAAAACUCUGUUAUUAGGGAAGAACAAAUGUGUAAGUAACUAUGCACGUCUUGACGGUACCUAAUCAGAAAGCCACGGCUAACUACGUG
rnacentral:rRNA from 1 species